CCACUUCAAGAUGAUGAAGUUGUCUCCUAUCUCCUCACUGGCCUGAGUGAGGAAUAUGACCCGCUGGUGAUGUCGAUCACCACCAAAGCGGAUGCAUUGACAUUGAGCGAGGUGUAUAACCACCUCCUCAGCUUCGAGA